GUGGGGAAUAUUGCACAAUGGGGGAAACCCUGAUGCAGCAACGCCGCGUGAGUGAUGAAGGUUUUCGGAUCGUAAAGCUCUGUCUUUGGGGAAGAUAAUGACGGUACCCAAGGAGGAAGCCACGGCUAACUACGUGCCAGCAGCCGCGGUAAUACGUAGGUGGCGAGCGUUAUCCGGAUUUACUGGGCGUAAAGGGAGCGUAGGCGGAUGAUUAAGUGGGAUGUGAAAUACCCGGGCUCAACUUGGGUGCUGCAUUCCAAACUGGUUAUCUAGAGUGCAGGAGAGGAGAGUGGAAUUCCUAGUGUAGCGGUGAAAUGCGUAGAGAUUAGGAAGAACACCAGUGGCGAAGGCGACUCUCUGGACUGUAACUGACGCUGAGGCUCGAAAGCGUGGGGAGCAAACAGGAUUAGAAACCCGAGUAGUCC
rnacentral:rRNA from 1 species